UACGUAGGGUGCGAGCGUUGUCCGGGAUUAUUGGGCGUAAAGGGCUCGUAGGCGGUUUGUCGCGUCGGGAGUGAAAACACCGGGCUUAACUCGGUGCUUGCUUUCGAUACGGGCAGACUAGAGGCAUGCAGGGGAGAACGGAAUUCCUGGUGUAGCGGUGAAAUGCGCAGAUAUCAGGAGGAACACCGGUGGCGAAGGCGGUUCUCUGGGCAUGUCCUGACGCUGAGGAGCGAAAGUGUGGGGAGCGAACAGG
rnacentral:rRNA from 1 species